UUUGAUAUAUUUUACGCAAAACUGUUCCGUGUAAACAAACAAUAAAGGGAAAAACUUGAAAUGAAAAUUAGAAGUUUACUUAGCAAUUAGACUUUGACGAGCUACAUACUAAUUGAUUUUCCUUCCUUUCUCUAAUAGGGUAUCUCUGAGUGCUGUGACGCACGCAGCCAACUCUCAACUCCAUCAACUGAUUACCUCAUCAAAAGUAAAUCCUCUGCAGACCUGUUUGGGUGGAUAGCUCUGAUUUCAAACAACUUUUGAAUACCCUAUGCGAACUAUCUGAACAGUUGUUGUCGAAUCUUGGGAGCACAUCAUAAUUACCAAAGCUUUAGCACCCCGAUAAGACUGAUUGCUAUUUAUGACCACUUCAAACUGCCCAGAAAUAUGUGAUGAAAUACAUAUGUAUAUACUGGAAUGUAUGUAUGUAUUUAUACAUAUAGUAUCUGGCUGAUAGGAUAAUUUGAUUCUUAUCAAUGGCCACAGAUUUGUCACGAAG